UUUCCGUAGGUGAACCUGCGGAAGGAUCAUUAUCGAGUUCUUGAAACGGGUUGUAGCUGGCCUUCCGAGGCAUGUGCACGCCCUGCUCAAUCCACUCUACACCUGUGCACUUACUGUAGGUUUCUUGGUCGCGUUGGGUUCCUUUACUGGGGCUCGACAAAGCCGAGGGGCUUAUGUUUUACUACAAACUAUAAAGUAACUGAAUGUAUACCGCGUCUAACGCAUCUAUAUACAACUUUCAGCAACGGAUCUCUUGGCUCUCGCAUCGAUGAAGAACGCAGC
rnacentral:misc_RNA from 1 species